rnacentral:rRNA from 1 species
UACGUAGGGGGCAAGCGUUGUCCGGAAUCAUUGGGCGUAAAGCGCGCGUAGGCGGCCCAGUAAGUCCGUUGUAAAAGUCAAAGGCUCAACCUUUGAAAGCCGAUGGAUACUGCUGGGCUAGAGUCCGGAAGAGGCGAGUGGAAUUCCUGGUGUAGCGGUGGAAUGCGCAGAUAUCAGGAGGAACACCGAUAGCGAAGGCAGCUCGCUGGGACGGUACUGACGCUGAGGCGCGAAAGCGUGGGGAGCGAACAGG